rnacentral:rRNA from 1 species
AGAGUUUGAUCCUGGCUCAGAUUGAACGCUGGCGGCAGGCCUAACACAUGCAAGUCGAGCGGUAACAGAGAGUAGCUUGCUACUUUGCUGACGAGCGGCGGACGGGUGAGUAAUGCUUGGGAACAUGCCUUGAGGUGGGGGACAACAGUUGGAAACGACUGCUAAUACCGCAUAAUGUCUACGGACCAAAGGGGGCUUCGGCUCUCGCCUUUAGAUUGGCCCAAGUGGGAUUAGCUAGUUGGUGAGGUAAUGGCUCACCAAGGCGACGAUCCCUAGCUGGUUUGAGAGGAUGAUCAGCCACACUGGGACUGAGACACGGCCCAGACUCCUACGGGAGGCAGCAGUGGGGAAUAUUGCACAAUGGGCGCAAGCCUGAUGCAGCCAUGCCGCGUGUGUGGAGAAGGCCUUCGGGUUGUAAAGCACUUUCAGUCAGGAGGAAAGGUUAGUAGUUAAUACCUGCUAGCUGUGACGUUACUGACAGAAGAAGCACCGGCUAACUCCGUGCCAGCAGCCGCGGUAAU